UGAAAUCAAGAGUAAAAAUCUAGCUUCUUCCUUCACCAACAUGCAAGUUCUUUUCCUUUCCUGCCAGCCAGA